rnacentral:rRNA from 1 species
UACGGAGGGGGCUAGCGUUGUUCGGAUUUACUGGGCGUAAAGCGCACGUAGGCGGAUCGAUCAGUCAGGGGUGAAAUCCCAGAGCUCAACUCUGGAACUGCCUUUGAUACUGUCGAUCUGGAGUAUGGAAGAGGUGAGUGGAAUUCCGAGUGUAGAGGUGAAAUUCGUAGAUAUUCGGAGGAACACCAGUGGCGAAGGCGGCUCACUGGUCCAUUACUCACGCUGAGGUGCGAAAGCGUGGGGAGCAAACAGG